GAUGAACGCUGGCGGCGUGCCUAAUACAUGCAAGUCGAGCGAAUGGAUUAAGAGCUUGCUCUUAUGAAGUUAGCGGCGGACGGGUGAGUAACACGUGGGUAACCUGCCCAUAAGACUGGGAUAACUCCGGGAAACCGGGGCUAAUACCGGAUAACAUUUCGAACCGCAGGGUUCGAAAUUGAAAGGCGGCUUCGGCUGUAACUUAUGGAUGGACCCGCGUCGCAUUAGCUAGUUGGUGAGGGAACGGCUCACCAAGGCAACGAUGCGUAGCCGACCUGAGAGGGGGAUGGGCCACACGGGGACUGAGACGCGGCCCAGACUCCUACGGGAGGCAGCAGUAGGGAAUCUUCCGCAAUGGACGAAAGUCUGACGGAGCAACGCCGCGUGAGUGAUGAAGGCUUUCGGGUCGUAAAACUCUGUUGUUAGGGAAGAACAAGUGCUAGUUGAAUAAGCUGGCACCUUGACGGUACCUAACCAGAAAGCCACGGCUAACUACGUGCCAGCCGCCGCGGUAA
rnacentral:rRNA from 1 species